rnacentral:lncRNA from 1 species
CACCACUCUGACUCACUAAGCAUACACAGGGGCCUACUGUGGUGGGAACUAAGCCCCUAAACAUCGAGAAAAUAAGCAAGUGCGGAAUCCAUACAAGGGCAGGACCAGAGAAAUAGACUCUUCUGGCUUUGAAAGAGAAGUCUGACCUAUUGUCAAUUGUCUAAGCAAAAACACCAUGGGAGAGAAUUGAGGACUGCAUUUAGGAGCAUUUCCAAGCCGUUUUCACAUUCUGUAAACAUCAGUUGACCAGAUACUGGCUGAACUCACAGCACAGUAAGAUGUAGGAUCCUACGGGAAGUCAAUGGAUGCUGGACCUGGCCCAACUCCGGGAGGAAGCAGGUA